AAAAAUAAAUAAAUAAAAAUACUUAAAAAAAAGACAACUCCUAACAUUCCUUCAACAUUGUACUCCUGUUUGCCAGCAAAUGUCAUAAGAACAUUCACACUGUCACAGCUGGGUGAUCGGAAGAUGAUGGAGCAUUAUUCUCCUCAGUCACGGGAUGGCCAAGCCUGUGGCACUCAGCUCUCCUGUUUCCGACACUAGCACAAGGACUAACUGUGAAGUAUGGGAUGUCUGCCGAUGGGAUGUGUUCACACUGACCUCCACCCCCAACGCUUUCUUUGAUCAUCUUCCUCAUCUUUUUCUUACUGUGUCAGAAAACAAUAGGCAAUUUAAUCUGGAGCACUGUUAGCCAUUCUCUCGCUUUCUGCACCCGGGACUGACUGUGCCUCCCGGGCGGCAGCUGCUUCGGGGUCCAGUCCCCAAACCUCUCACCCCCAGAGAAAAAGCCCGCUCGCUGACCCCGACCUAGAGACAACCUCAGCUUUCAAGAGAAUGACCAAACGCGAGUGCCCUUGGUACAGCACUUACUACCACUUUCGAUCCCUCCCCAACCAGCUGGGAUAUAAGAUGCCAUCUGAUUGGAAUAUG